AGUGAACGCUGGCGGCGUGCCUAAUACAUGCAAGUCGAACGAUGAAGUCCUAGCUUGCUCGGAUGGAUUAGUGGCGCACGGGUGAGUAAUAUAUAGUUAAUCUGCCCUACACAGAGGAACAACAGUUGGAAACGGCUGCUAAUACCUCAUACUCCUAUUUGACAUAAGUUAAAUAGGGAAAGUCUUUUCGGUGUAGGAUGAGACUAUAUCGUAUCAGCUAGUUGGUAAGGUAAUGGCUUACCAAGGCUAUGACGCGUAACUGGUCUGAGAGGAUGAUCAGUCACAUUGGAACUGAGACACGGUCCAAACUCCUACGGGAGGCAGCAGUAAGGAAUAUUGCGCAAUGGGGGAAACCCUGACGCAGCAACGCCGCGUGGAGGAGGACACUUUUCGGAGCGUAAACUCCUUUUAUCAGGAAAGAAUAAUGACGGUACCUGAUGAAUAAGCACCGGCUAACUCCGUG
rnacentral:rRNA from 1 species